AGAGUUUGAUCCUGGCUCAGGAUGAACGCUGGCGGCGUGCCUAACACAUGCAAGUUGAGCGAUUUACUUCGGUAAAGAGCGGCGGACGGGUGAGUAACGCGUGGGUAACCUACCCUGUACACACGGAUAACAUACCGAAAGGUAUGCUAAUACGGGAUAAUAUAUUUGAGAGGCAUCUCUUGAAUAUCAAAGGUGAGCCAGUACAGGAUGGACCCGCGUCUGAUUAGCUAGUUGGUAAGGUAACGGCUUACCAAGGCGACGAUCAGUAGCCGACCUGAGAGGGUGAUCGGCCACAUUGGAACUGAGACACGGUCCAAACUCCUACGGGAGGCAGCAGUGGGGAAUAUUGCACAAUGGGCGAAAGCCUGAUGCAGCAACGCCGCGUGAGUGAUGAAGGCCUUCGGGUCGUAAAACUCUGUCCUCAAGGAAGAUAAUGACGGUACUUGAGGAGGAAGCCCCGGCUAACUACGUGCCAGCAGCCGCGGUAAUACGUAGGGGGCUAGCGUUAUCCGGAUUUACUGGGCGUAAAGGGUGCGUAGGCGGUCUUUCAAGUCAGGAGUGAAAGGCUACGGCUCAACCGUAGUAAGCUCUUGAAACUGGGAGACUUGAGUGCAGGAGAGGAGAGUGGAAUUCCUAGUGUAGCGGUGAAAUGCGUAGAUAUUAGGAGGAACACCAGUUGCGAAGGCGGCUCUCUGGACUGUAACUGACGCUGAGGCACGAAAGCGUGGGGAGCAAACAGGAUUAGAUACCCUGGUAGUCCACGCUGUAAACGAUGAGUACUAGGUGUCGGGGGUUACCCCCUUCGGUGCCGCAGCUAACGCAUUAAGUACUCCGCCUGGGAAGUACGCUCGCAAGAGUGAAACUCAAAGGAAUUGACGGGGACCCGCACAAGUAGCGGAGCAUGUGGUUNNNNNNNNNNNNNNNAGUUUGGUAGCGCACAUGGUUUGGGACCAUGGGGCCGGGGGUUCGAGUCCCUUCACCUCGACCAAUAUAAGGUGGGUAUAGCUCAGUUGGUUAGAGCGCCAGAUUGUGGCUCUGGAGGUCGUGAGUUCGACUCUCAUUAUCCACCCCAAUUCAUAUGGUCUAUUAGCUCAGUCGGUAGAGCACCUGACUUUUAAUCAGGGUGUCCCGCGUUCGAGUCGCGGAUAGAUCACCAAAAAGGCGGCGACAUAGCCAAGUGGUAAGGCAGUGGACUGCAACUCCUUGAUCCCCAGUUCGAAUCUGGGUGUCGCCUCCAAUAAAAUGCGCUCAUAGCUCAACUGGAUAGAGUGUCUGACUACGAAUCAGAAGGUUAGGGGUUCGAGUCCCUUUGGGCGCACCAUAUGAAUAGCGAGGGAUUAUAGCUCAGCUGGGAGAGCACCUGCCUUACAAGCAGGGGGUCACAGGUUCGAGCCCUGUUAAUCCCACCAGUGCAAACCUCUAGUAAAACUACUAGAGGUUUUAUUUUUGAUUGAAAAAGUUUUUAUAUUUAGGAGGUAAAAAAUUUGUAUAUAGUAAUAGGAAAUGAAAUAGUUGAUAGUGAAGAACUUAAAAUAAUUAUAGAUAAAAAUAGUGAAUUUAAAGUUGAAAAAGAUUUAAGUAAAAGCACAAAAAGAGAAGAUGUAAUAGCAUAUCAGUUAAGUAUAGAUUUAAAUUACCUAGAUUCUCUUAUAAAUGAGCAAUGUAAUUUAGCCAGUCUAUCUGACGAAGAGAAAUUUGAUGAAUAUAUGACUUUGUCUGAUGAACUUGCACUGGAUUUAGAAGAGUUAAUGCCAAAAUAUACAAUAAUAAAUGCUAGAGCAUAUAAAUUAGACGAGGUAGAUGGAAUUGUAAAAAUAAUACUAGCUGUAGCGUAUGCAGAUUUAGGGCACUUAAAACUUUCUGAUGUAGUAAAGAGGCUAUCUAGACAAGUAGAUUAGGAUAUGAAUAUGAACUAUAUUAAAAAAAUGUAUAAAAUCUUACGUAAAGAUGAAAAUAAUUAUGUAAACAUAGAAAAAAACAGUAUAAAAUCAAGUCAAUUGUAGAAAUUUUCACAUAAAUUUAUCUGAAAUUCUAUAAAAAAUGCCUUAAUUUUAAUGAGGUAAAUCGAGUUUACACAGUCUAAAAAUUACUUAUAUUUAUAAAUUUAUCUUAUUAAUUAAGGAACUUUCUUAAACAUCUUCAAAAAUAAAGUAUUUUAGUCUAUAAUCUUUAAUAUUACACAAACAAUAAAGGAGAAGAAUAGAGUAUGCUUAAAAAGUUUAAUAAAAUACUAGUGGCUAAUAGAGGCGAAAUAGCUAUAAGAAUAUUUAGAGCCUGUUCAGAAUUGGGGAUAAAAAGUGUUGGUAUAUACAGUAAGGAAGAUAAGUAUGGAUUGUUUAGAACAAAAGCGGAUGAAUCAUAUUUGAUAGGAGAAGGUAAAGGGCCAAUAGAUGCAUAUUUAGAUAUGGAUGGAAUAAUAGACCUAGCAAAGAGAAAAAAAGUUGAUGCUAUACAUCCAGGAUAUGGUUUUCUAGCGGAGAAUGCAGAAUUUGCUCGUAAAUGUGAAGAGAAUGGAAUUACUUUUAUAGGACCAUCAUCUAAGGUAAUGAAUAUGAUGGGGGAUAAGAUUAACUCUAAAAAAAUCGCAAAAGAAGUUAAUGUUCAAACUAUACCAGGAGUAGAAAAAGCAAUAAGAAGUACUGAAGAAGCAAAGGAAGUUGCAAACAAAAUAGGAUAUCCUGUUAUGAUAAAAGCAUCUAAUGGCGGUGGCGGUAGAGGUAUGAGAAUUGUACAUCGCGAAGAAGACUUAGAGCUUGAAUAUGAAACUGCUUGUAGUGAAUCAAGAAAAGCUUUUGGAGAAGAUAUUAUAUUUAUAGAAAAAUAUAUAGCUGAUCCAAAACAUAUAGAAGUUCAAAUAUUAGGUGAUAAUUAUGGAAAUAUAGUUCACUUAUAUGAAAGAGAUUGUUCAGUUCAAAGAAGACAUCAAAAAAUAAUAGAAUAUGCACCAGCUUUUUCGUUAGAUGAUAAAGUAAGAAAAGAGAUAUGUGAAGAUGCAGUUAAGUUAUCAAAACAUGUGGGUUAUUCUAAUGCGGGAACAUUAGAAUUUUUAGUAGAUGCAAAUGGUGGGCAUUAUUUUAUAGAGAUGAACACAAGAGUACAGGUUGAACAUACUGUAACAGAGAUGGUUACAGGAAUAGAUAUAGUUCAAAGUCAAAUACUAAUAGCCCAAGGUUACAGCUUAGAUAGUGAAGAAAUUAAUAUAAAAUCACAAGAUGAUGUGGAAAUAAGAGGUUACUC
rnacentral:rRNA from 1 species